rnacentral:rRNA from 1 species
UACAGAGGAGCCAAGCGUUGUCCGGAUUGACUGGGCGUAAAGCGCACGCAGGCGGAUACGCGCGUGGGGUGUGAAAUCUGGCCGCUUAACGGCCAGGCGCCAUCCCAUACGGCGUGUCUGGAGCUGUGCAGAGGUCGGUGGAAUUGCCGGUGUAGUGGUGAAAUGCGUAGAGAUCGGGAAGAACAUCAGUGGCGAAGGCGGCCUGCUGGGCUGGUUGCUGACGCUGAGGCGCGACAGCGUGGGGAGCAAACGAGG